AAUAAAUUUGACAUUCCAACCUUGGACUUAAAAGUCUACGAUGAAUCGAAGACUGAAGUUGAUGAGGGGUUUGAGUUUCUUCUAAAGAAACAAGACCUUGGUGUGCUGGAGAUUUGUUUACCCCAAGACCCAAAUCCUGAUGAUUCGUUGAGCUCCUCUGCAAGCAGCUCCUUAUCAAAAUACAGUGGAGACAAUGAGGGGGACUCCAUUAUAUUGCAGCAGAGUCCUGCUACAAGAAAGAAAGCGGAGGAUAAUCGUCUAUCUCAUAUGACUGAAGACAUUCUGAACAACAAACCUGGAGGUGAGAGGAUCAUGGAUGCGUAUGUACGGACAAAAAGCCUAASAGAUAGCCGAAGACGCGAUAUGGUCAAGAUAUUGGUUGCACAAAUAACAAGUGAACAUGGGACAAGUUCUUCAAGCCGUGUUAAAGAGGACUACGCAAAGGGCAUCAUUGCCUUGAUCCCAUAUCUGGCCGAUCCUGGGAGCAAGUUUGGUUAUGAUGGGACAGUGACAUGUCCUCCAUUUUGGUCCUUGUCCACCGUCACCUCAUGGCCCCAAGAGACCAGGAAAAAUCUCAGCCAGACACGCCAGUGACCACAUUGUGAAGUUUAUCAAGACUGGGACCAGCAUCCAGGGGCAUCUGGAGAGCAUCAUGGAAAGCCUUCAACCCUAUCUGCUUGCUGUGGGGACCCAGAGGAGUGUGAUUGACAAACAUGCAAUACCUUGUAAGUCACCAGACUCCCUUGCCUGUUUUGAUGAGCUCUUCAAAGCUCAUUUUGUCUUUGGUACUUCGUACAACCAGGAUCUGGAAAAUGUGUACAACUUCUUGCAAACCACAAUUCAUGAAAUUGAUGUUGACACCGCUAAGGUUAAUCCUAGGGUUGCAGAGUUGAGGUCUCGGAUGCUUCAUUGAGUUACUAAAUGUUUUGAAGUUGCAAAGGGUUAAAACGCAGCAUAGGAAAUAACCUUUUUCAUUUCACACAACAUUUUUCAUAUCAUUCAUCUAAAAUGUUGUGUUUUGCUUGCAAAAGCCCCCAGGGAAAUGCUAAUUCCUUGACAAAACACUUGMAGUUGGUCCACAGACUUUGUCCAGGAAAGACACUUGGUCUUAAAUGCGGUCAGGCUGGUUGUUCACAAGUUUAUGUCACUUUUUCUGGGUUCAGAAAGCAUCUUUGUAAAGCACAUGAACCUUGUUCUGAUCAKGGUGAAGGCCCCUCUACAGCUGAAUAUGUAAGUCAUGACUUGUCAUCAACAAGUUCCCCUUCUGACUCAGUCCUUGUCAAUAAGAGACUUGUAGACAGCUGCGCUGCAACCAUAGCUGAACUUAGUGGCAGGUGUAGGUGAAACAACCAUUAACUCUUUAGUCAUUUCCAUGGAAGAGAUAGUUGAUGAUAUUCAUAUUCAAGCUAAAGAAUCUGUGAAGAAGUGUCUGUCUAUACAGGAGCCUAUUAAAAGUGACAUUGAGURUAAAAUUGAUCAGUGUUUUGAAAAAAAUAGAAAAUCCUUUUCGGUGUAUUAAAUUCUGAAAGUAAGAGAAGRCAGUAUUUUACAGAAGAGUGGGGAAUGGUAGACACAGUUGAAUACGUUCUUGGUACAAGAUUUGAUACACGACGCAAUCGGACUACUGGAGGCUAUGAUCAAAUUGUUGUUACUGGUGAAUUUGUUUACAUCCCAUUUUUGAAAACAUUACAGUUUAUUUACAAUCACCCUGAUAUAAAGAAGAUGAUGCAGACGGAUUCCAGUUCAAGAGAACUUUAUGACUAAUGUGAUGGAGAUCUGUUCCAAGAGCCACGCUCUAUUUUCAGAACAGAAGCAAAUCAGAUACAGCUUCUCUCUGAUUUUGAAACUGCAAAUCCUCUUGGAUCAAAACGGGGAAUAGAUAAAUUAGGAGCAAUCUAUUUCACCUUAUGUAAUUUUUCUCCAAUGUUCAACUCAUUUCCGCUUAAUAUUCAUUUGGUUGCUUUAUGUCAUGCCCAAGACGUUAAAACAUACGGCUUUUCUAAAAUACUUGAUCCAAUUGUGCAGGAUAUUAAAGUACUUGAGAGGGAUGGAAUUAUGUUCCCCUUGUAUGAUCAACCAGUGUAUGGAACUAUUGUCCACGUUACAGGUGACAACCUUGGUCUUCACUGUCUAUUUGGUUUUGUUGAAUCAUUCAGUGCCAGAUAUUGUUGCCGCUUUUGUCUUGCUGAGAAAGAGGACUUUCAGACUGAAUUUGAUGAAGAUUCACCCAAGAUAGUUAUGCGAACUCGAGCACUGCAGAACACUGGUAAAAAAAGAUUUGUCUUCCCUAUGUGAUGGGUGUUAAACGUUCUUGCAUUCUAAACUCCGUGCAGUACUUCAAUACAUGUGAAAACYUCUCUGUCGAUAUUAUGCAUGAUAUCUUGGAGGGAAGUGGCACAAUAUGAAAUGRAACUGCUAAUACUGCACUUGAUAGACAAGUACACAACAUCAAAUGAAAUAGACAGCAGAAUAAAAAGCUUUAACUAUGGUUACAUGGAGCAAAACAACAAACCUCCGGCAGUGAAGUGAGGAGAGGACUCUAAUGACUUGGGGUUAAAUGCUAUUCAGUCCUGGUGUUUAGUUCCCAAUCUACCACUUAUCUUUGGAGACUUAGUUUGUCCAAAUGAUCUACACUGGUAUUUACUGUUGCUUCAGAUAGUAAACAUWGUAUUUUCUCCAAUGAUAUCAAAGGGUAAUACAAUUUAUUUGAAACACUUAAUCGCAGAACACCACAGGUUAUUCAAGCAACUGUUUCCAAAAAAAAGAGGCUGCUACCGAACCAUAAUUUUAUGGUGCAUUACCCCACAUGUAUGCUUAAAAUUGGACCA